rnacentral:rRNA from 1 species
AUUGAACGCUGGCGGCAGGCUUAACACAUGCAAGUCGAGCGGGGUGAUGGUGCUUGCACUAUCACUUAGCGGCGGACGGGUGAGUAAUGCUUAGGAAUCUGCCUAUUAGUGGGGGACAACAUCUCGAAAGGGAUGCUAAUACCGCAUACGUCCUACGGGAGAAAGCAGGGGAUCACUUGUGACCUUGCGCUAAUAGAUGAGCCUAAGUCGGAUUAGCUAGUUGGUGGGGUAAAGGCCUACCAAGGCGACGAUCUGUAGCGGGUCUGCGAGGAUGAUCCGCCACACUAGGACUGAGACACGGCCCAGACUCCUACGGGAGGUAGAAGUGGGGAAUAUUGGACAAUGGGGGGAACCCUGAUCCAGCCAUGCCGCGUGUGUGAAGAAGGCCUUAUGGUUGUAAAGCACUUUAAGCGAGGAGGAGGCUCUUUUGGUUAAUACCCAAGAUGAGUGGACGUUACUCGCAGAAUAAGCACCGGCUAACUCUGUGCCAGCCGCCGCAGUAA